rnacentral:rRNA from 1 species
UGGGGAAUUCUGGACAAUGGGCGCAAGCCUGAUCCAGCCAUGCCGCGUGCGGGAAGAAGGCCUUCGGGUUGUAAACCGCUUUUGUCCGGGAAGAAAUCUUCUGGGUUAAUACCUCGGGAGGAUGACGGUACCUGAAGAAUAAGCACCGGCUAACUACGUGCCAGCAGCCGCGGUAAUACGUAGGGUGCAAGCGUUAAUCGGAAUUACUGGGCGUAAAGCGUGCGCAGGCGGUUAUGCAAGACAGAUGUGAAAUCCCCGGGCUCAACCUGGGAACUGCAUUUGUGACUGCAUGGCUAGAGUGCGGCAGAGGGGGAUGGAAUUCCGCGUGUAGCAGUGAAAUGCGUAGAUAUGCGGAGGAACACCGAUGGCGAAGGCAAUCCCCUGGGCCUGCACUGACGCUCAUGCACGAAAGCGUGGGGAGCAAACAGGAUUAGAUACCCUGGUAGUCCACGCCCUAAACGAUGUCAACUGGUUGUUGGGAAGGUUCCUUCUCAGUAACGUAGCUAACGCGUGAAGUUGACCGCCUGGGGAGUACGGCCGCAAGGUUG